UUUAUGUGAAAUAAUGAAAUAGUGAUCUAUUUCAUUAUUUUACCUAAAUG
rnacentral:pre_miRNA from 1 species